ACUCCUACGGGAGGCAGCAGUGGGGAAUCUUGGACAAUGGGCGCAAGCCUGAUCCAGCCAUGCCGCGUGAGUGAUGAAGGCCCUAGGGUCGUAAAAGCUCUUUCGCCAGGGAUGAUAAUGACAGUACCUGGUAAAGAAACCCCGGCUAACUCCGUGCCAGCAGCCGCGGUAAUACGGAGGGGGUUAGGCGUUGUUCGGAAUUACUGGGGCGUAAAGCGCGCGUAGGCGGACUGGAAAGUUGGGGGUGAAAUCCCGGGGGCUCAACCCCGGAACUGCCUCCAAAACUCCCAGUCUUGAGUUCGAGAGAGGUGAGUGGAAUUCCGAGUGUAGAGGUGAAAUUCGUAGAUAUUCGGAGGAACACCAGUGGCGAAGGCGGCUCACUGGCUCGAUACUGACGCUGAGGUGCGAAAGUGUGGGGAGCAAACAGGAUUAGAUACCCUGGUAGGAUAGCG
rnacentral:rRNA from 1 species